rnacentral:rRNA from 1 species
UACGUAGGGGGCAAGCGUUGUCCGGAUUUAUUGGGCGUAAAGAGCGUGUAGGCGGCCAGAUAGGUCAGCUGUGAAAACUCGAGGCUCAACCUCGAGAUGUCGGCUGAAACCAUCUGGCUAGAGUCCGGAAGAGGAGAAUGGAAUUCCCGGUGUAGCGGUGAAAUGCGCAGAUAUCGGGAGGAACACCAAUGGCGAAGGCAGCUCGCUGGGACGUUACUGACGCUGAGACGCGAAAGCGUGGGGAGCAAACAGG